UACGGAGGGUGCAAGCGUUAAUCGGAAUUACUGGGCGUAAAGCGUGCGCAGGCGGUUUGUUAAGUCUGCUGUGAAAUCCCCGGGCUCAACCUGGGAAUGGCAGUGGAUACUGGCAAGCUAGAGUGCGGUAGAGGGUAGUGGAAUUCCCGGUGUAGCAGUGAAAUGCGUAGAGAUCGGGAGGAACACCAGUGGCGAAGGCGGCUACCUGGACCAGCACUGACACUGAAGCACGAAAGCGUGGGGAGCAAACAGG
rnacentral:rRNA from 1 species